CUUACACAUGCAGUCGAGCGGAGAUGAGGUGCUUGCACCUUAUCUUAGCGGCGGACGGGUGAGUAAUGCUUAGGAAUCUGCCUAUUAGUGGGGGACAACAUUCCGAAAGGAAUGCUAAUACCGCAUACGUCCUACGGGAGAAAGCAGGGGAUCUUCGGACCUUGCGCUAAUAGAUGAGCCUAAGUCGGAUUAGCUAGUUGGUGGGGUAAAGGCCUACCAAGGCGACGAUCUGUAGCGGGUCUGAGAGGAUGAUCCGCCACACUGGGACUGAGACACGGCCCAGACUCCUACGAGAGGCAGCAGUGGGGAAUAUUGGACAAUGGGGGGAACCCUGAUCCAGCCAUGCCGCGUGUGUGAAGAAGGCCUUAUGGUUGUAAAGCACUUUAAGCGAGGAGGAGGCUACUGAGACUAAUACUCUUGGAUAGUGGACGUUACUCGCAGAAUAAGCACCGGCUAACUCUGUGCCAGCAGCCGCGGUAAUACAGAGGGUGCGAGCGUUAAUCGGAUUUACUGGGCGUAAAGCGUGCGUAGGCGGCUUUUUAAGUCGGAUGUGAAAUCCCCGAGCUUAACUUGGGAAUUGCAUUCGAUACUGGGAAGCUAGAGUAUGGGAGAGGAUGGUAGAAUUCCAGGUGUAGCGGUGAAAUGCGUAGAGAUCUGGAGGAAUACCGAUGGCGAAAGCAGCCAUCUGGCCUAAUACUGACGCUGAGGUACGAAGCAUGGGGAGCAAACAGGAUUAGAUACCCUGGUAGUCCAUGCCGUAACGAUGUCUACUAGCCGUUGGGGCCUUUGAGCUUUAGUGCGCAGCUAACGCGAUAAGUAGAC
rnacentral:rRNA from 1 species